GCCAUCUUGAAUCUCUGAGUUGUGCUUGGUCCUUCUGCCUACAUCCCUGAGCAGAGUCGGCACAGCCCUUCAGCAGAGGAACUCUGGUCUGAAGCACCAGCAGGAGGCUUCUGCACAUGGCAGCCUGUGAGCAAGUGAAACUAGAUGAGACACAAAGGAAAAGAGAAAGUGUGACAAGUAGAAUUAGAGGUGUGUUUUUUUCUUCCCCAAUGAAAAAUCUGUCAUGUUUAAUCAUUGUAAUACUAAAUUCCUUCUAAAGAGAAGUCAAGGGUCUGAGUUGACAGAAAUGGCUGGAAACAACUUCACGGAGGUGACGUUCUUCAUCCUCUCUGGAUUUGCAAAUCACCCUGAACUACAA
ensembl:lncRNA